rnacentral:rRNA from 1 species
CUAAAUACUACCCAGUGACCGAUAGCGUAUAGUACUGUGAAGGAAAGGUGAAAAGCACCCCGGGAGGGGAGUGAAAAAGAACCUGAAACCCUGUGCCUACAAGCACCUAGAGCACGUCAAAGUGUGAUAGGGUACUUUUUGUAGAACGGUCCGGCGAGCGAUUGUAUGCAGCAAGGUUAAGGACUUAAGGUCUGGAGCCGAAGCGAAAGCGAGUUUGAAAAGGGCGUUAAGUUGCAUACAAUGGGCCCGAAACCGGGUGACCUACCCAUGGUCAGGUUGAAGUGGAAGUAAAAUUCCAUGGAGGACCGAACCGACCUCCGUUGAAAAGGCGGCGGAUGAACUGUGGGUAGCGGAGAAAUUCCAAUCGAACCCGGAGAUAGCUGGUUCUCCCCGAAAUAGUUUUAGGACUAGCCUCAAGUUAGAUACCUGGAGGUAAAGCACUGAAUAGCCUAGCGGCCGAGAGGUUAGCGAAGCUUAUCAAACUCAGAAUGCCAGAGUAUUGAUGCUUGGGAGUCAGACAGUGUCAGAUAAAUGUCAUUGUCAAAAGGGAAACAGCCCAGAUCUACAGCUAAGGUCCCAAAGUCAGGUUAAGUGGAAAACGAUGUGAAGAUACGUAGACAACCAGGAUGUUGGCUCAGAAGCAGCCACACAUUCAAAGAGUGCGUAAUAGCUCACUGGUCGAGCGUCUUUGCGCGGAGAAUUUAACGGGGCUAAACCUGACACCGAAGCUUAGGCAAUACAGCAAUGUAUUGGGUAGGGGAGCGUUGUAUACGCGGUGAAACAGUAGCGCAAGCGGCUGUGGAGUGUAUAGAAGUGAGAAUGCCGGAAUGAGUAGCGCGAAUGCAGUGAGAAUCUGCAUGGCCGAAAGCCUCAGGUUUCUGGAGGAAGGUUCGUCCGCUCCAGGUUAGUCGGGAGCUAAGGUGAGGCCUAACGGCGUAGCCGAUGCACAGACGGUAGAGAUUCCGUCACCACCAAAAGAGUUAAACACAGGGACACAUUUGAAGUCUCGGAGCCGGGUGUUGGUUCCGGUAGCGAUCGAGGGAAGUUAGUACCGAAGUCCGGGAUGGAAGAUGGCGAGAAAAGCUGUGUGUAUUUCUGCGGUGCCCGUACCGCAAACCGACACAGGUAGGUAGGAAGAAGAUUCUAAGGCCAACGGGAGAAGGGUUGUUAAGGAACUCGGCAAGUUGACCCCGUAACUUCGGAAUAAGGGGUGCUCAUGAAAGUGAGCCGCAGAGAAUAGGCCCAGGCAACUGUUUACCAAAAACACAGGUUUGUGCUAAAUCGAAAGAUGACGUAUACGAGCUGACGCCUGCCCGGUGCUGGAAGGUUAAGAGGAGAUGUGCAAGCAUUGAAUCGAAGCCCCAGUGAACGGCGGCCGUAACUAUAACGGUCCUAAGGUAGCGAAAUUCCUUGUCAGGUAAGUUCUGACCCGCACGAAUGGCGUAACGAUUUGGGCACUGUCUCAACAGCCCGCCCGGCGAAAUUGUAGUACCGGUGAAGAUGCCGGUUACCCGCGACAAGACGGAAAGACCCCAUGGAGCUUUACUGUAGCCUAAUAUUGGGUUUCGAUGUUGCAUGCACAGGAUAGAUGGGACACUGGGAAACAAUCGCUUUGGCGGUUGCGGAGUGGCCGUUGGGAUACCAUCCUUGCGAUAUUGGAAUUCUAACCUGCGGCUCUGAAUCGAGUCGGGGGACAUUGUUAGGUGGGCAGUUUGACUGGGGCGGUCGCCUCCUAAAGAGUAACGGAGGCGUUCAAAGGUUCGCUCAGCUUGAACGGAAAUCAAGCAAAAGAGUGCAAACGCAGAAGCGAGCCUAACUGCGAGACUGACGGGUCGAGCAGUAACGAAAGUUGGAGUUAGUGAUCCGGUGGUAUGUGAGUGGAAAUGCCAUCGCUCAACGGAUAAAAGCUACCCUGGGGAUAACAGGCUGAUCUCCCCCAAGAGUCCACAUCGACGGGGAGGUUUGGCACCUCGAUGUCGGCUCAUCGCAUCCUGGGGCUGAAUUCGGUCCCAAGGGUUUGGCUGUUCGCCAAUUAAAGCGGUACGCGAGCUGGGUUCAGAACGUCGUGAGACAGUUCGGUCCCUAUCUGUCGUGGGCGCAGGAUAUUUGAUGGGAGCUGUUCCUAGUACGAGAGGACCGGAGCGGACGUACCUCUGGCGCACCAGUUGUUCUGCCAAGGGCAUAGCUGGGCAACUAUGUACGGAUCGGAUAAACGCUGAAAGCAUCUAAGCGUGAAGCCGACCCAAAGAUAAGAUAUCCCACUGAUUUGAUCAGGUAAGACCCCUUGAAGACUACAAGGUUGAUAGGCACGAUGUGUAAGUGGAGUGAUCCAUUCAGCAAGCGUGUACUAAUAGGUCGAGGGCUUGACCA